UACAGAGGGGGCAAGCGUUGUUCGGAAUUACUGGGCGUAAAGGGCGCGUAGGCGGCCUUCUAAGUCGAACGUGAAAUCCCCGGGCUCAACCCGGGAACUGCGUCCGAUACUGGAAGGCUUGAAUCCGGGAGAGGGAUGCGGAAUUCCAGGUGUAGCGGUGAAAUGCGUAGAUAUCGGGAGGAACACCAGUGGCGAAAGCGGCUACCUGGCCCAUUCUUGACGCUGAGGCGCGAAAGCUAGGGGAGCAAACGGG
rnacentral:rRNA from 1 species